rnacentral:misc_RNA from 1 species
ACCUACUGUUUAAUUUUGAGGGUUCGUUUUUACGAAUACUCAAAAUUAGCACUUUAAGCAACGGGAUUUAUCCGUUGGCGCCGUGCUUUAGCACUUUUAGCAACAGAAUAAACUGAACGCAUGUGAAGUUUGUUUGUUGGCGCUGUGCGUUAGCACUUUAAGUAACGGAAUUUAUUCGUUGGCGCCGUGCGUUAGCACUUUGAAAACUGCAUAUAUAUUUAGUGAUAUGACAUCUAAUUUGUAAUAUAUAAAGCUGAUAACUUUUUAAAAUUAUCGAAGUUGAUAGCUUCUAAUCUAUCAAACCUUUUUAGCUGGUCAA